rnacentral:rRNA from 1 species
UACGCGAGCUGGGUUCAGAACGUCGUGAGACAGUUCGGUCCCUAUCCGUCGUGGGCGUAGGAAAUUUGAGAGGAGCUGUCCUUAGUACGAGAGGACCGGGAUGGACAUACCUCUGGUGUACCAGUUGUCGUGCCAACGGCAUAGCUGGGUAGCUAUGUGUGGACGGGAUAAGUGCUGAAAGCAUCUAAGCAUGAAGCCCCCCUCAAGAUGAGAUUUCCCAACUUCGGUUAUAAGAUCCCUCAAAGAUGAUGAGGUUAAUAGGUUCGAGGUGGAAGCAUGGUGACAUGUGGAGCUGACGAAUACUAAUCGAUCGAAGACUUAAUCAAAA